CAGUAGCCGCGGUAAUACGUAGGUGGCAAGCGUUGUCCGGAAUUAUUGGGCGUAAAGGGCUCGCAGGCGGUUUCUUAAGUCUGAUGUGAAAGCCCCCGGCUCAACCGGGGAGGGUCAUUGGAAACUGGGAAACUUGAGUGCAGAAGAGGAGAGUGGAAUUCCACGUGUAGCGGUGAAAUGCGUAGAGAUGUGGAGGAACACCAGUGGCGAAGGCGACCCUCUGGUCUGUAACUGACGCUGAGGAGCGAAAGCGUGGGGAGCGAACAGGAUUAGAUACCCCAGUAGUCCCUGUCUCUUAUAC
rnacentral:rRNA from 1 species